UACGGAGGGAGCUAGCGUUGUUCGGAUAUACUGGGCGUAAAGCGCACGUAGGCGGCGCCGUAAGUCAGGGGUGAAAUCCCGGAGCUCAACUCCGGAACUGCCCUUGAAACUGCAUCGCUUGAAUCCAGGAGAGGUGAGUGGAAUUCCGAGUGUAGAGGUGAAAUUCGUAGAUAUUCGGAAGAACACCAGUGGCGAAGGCGGCUCACUGGACUGGUAUUGACGCUGAGGUGCGAAAGCGUGGGGAGCAAACAGG
rnacentral:rRNA from 1 species